CAGAGGUACCUGCUGAGCAAAUACAGUGGACAUGAACUGUUCGGCUUUGAUAUACUGCUGGACAAAAAACUAAAGCCCUGGGUUCUGGAAGUUAACGUAGCACCUGGUAUCCAGGGACACUCUGGUAAUCCUCACCCCGCCUUUGAUCCUAUGUGCAGAGAUAUGCUGAACUUAGCUGGCUACAGAAUACCUGGGGAAGAAGAUCAUGAUAAUGAUGGAGAAAGCGGGCCCAGUGUUUCGCCUGACUUGCUGCUAGACGAGCGUUGGUGGACAAAGAAUCUGUCCAACGCGGAACAAGCUAAACAUAAGUAUUACAGUGAGCACUAU